CCAAGACAGAACAAUGGGUUCUGGGGUUUCAUCUUGAUGGGUUUCUUCAACCAAGGAGUGGAAUAUUCAUGAAAAUUCCCAGGUAAAAGUGGAAAUUUCUCGGAACUGUGGUGCGAUCCAUUUUUACAUCAAAUAAUGAUCUCAGAACCGUCAUGGCACUGGUAGAAUAUAAAAAACUAACACAAGGUAAGGGCUAAGGUCUGGAGAUGGCUGCCCAAGAGAUGACAAAGUCCAACACCACGCUUGAGAGUGUCCAACCAUCUCUUCUGGGGCAGCACAGUUUUCUACAAUCCUGAAUUUGGAAAACAAGCAACAAGAUUCAUGAAACUGGACAACUGUCUUUAUAACAUUACCAGUGAUAAAACCAGUAAGGAAGGCUGGUUUGCAGUCAUCCGACCUGCCUCUUUACUUUCAUAAAUACGGUUUCUCUCUGAUAGUAAACGGCUUCCAAUUUCAAGCGGAAUGCUACAUCACAAGGAUAAGGAUGUGAAGAGAACCGGUUUCUUUUGUAAUCCUAAACGUUCCGCACAGGAGUUUUUGCGAAUUAAAAGCCAUUAUUUGAAGAAGGGUGCCCAGGAUCCAUCUGGCCGCGGAAAGGUUGCUCCGCAACACAGGCUACGGACCUGCUUCUUUGGGAGAGAACAGAUGCCGGGGCGGGAGGGAAAAAGGGAGAGGCAGACGUCACUUCCCCCUGGCCGCUCCUGCAGCGGAUUGGGCGGCUGAGUGGCAGAAAGGCAGACGGGGACUGGGCAGGGCACUGUCGCUGACAUCACGGAUAAGGCGACUUCUAUGUAGAUGAGGGAGCGCAAGGGCUGCUUCUUCGCCACCUGCUGCUUCGGCACGAAGGAGUUUCCAUGCUGUGGAGCGGGUUCAGGACCGUUGGUAGGACUUGAGAAGCCCAGCUGUGUGUCAGGGCUAGAAGGGCUCGGGAGUGCGCGUGGCAAGUGACCGUGAGUGUAAAGGGUGAGGCGUAUGAGGCUGUGGCGGGGCAGAGGUGUAGAAACUCAUACUUACCUGGCAGGGGAGAUACCAUGAUCACGAAGGUGGUUUUCCCAGGGCGAGGCUUAUCCAUUGCACUCCGGAUGUGCUGACCCCUGCGAUUUCCCCAAAUGUGGGAAACUCGACUGCAUAAUUUGUGGUAGUGGGGGACUGCGUUCGCGCUUUCCCCUGG